UGUAAAGAGCAAAAAACAUUAACUUAAAAAAUAUAUAUAUAAAAGAAUAGCUGAUGUAAAUCAAUUGUUAAAUGUGUCCAUGCUGCCAUGUAACACUUGUGUUUUUAAUGUGACUGCACCCCACUCUCAACAAAGUUGCUACGGCUGAUUUGAACACUCAAGGUCCAGCACAUCAGGUUCAGAGUCCAGUAGCAUGCUUGCUACAAUGCAUAUUAGGUGCGGCAAGUAGCCUAGUGUUUAGAGCGUUGGGCCAGUAACUGAAAGGUUGCUAGGUCAAAUCCCUGAGCUGACAAGAGGUAAAAGACAUCUGUCGUUCUGCCCCUGAACAAGGCAGUUAACCCACUGUUCCUAUGGCCAUCAUUGUAAAUAAAAAUGUGUUUUUAACUGACUUGCCUAGUUAAAUUAAUACCGUGCAGGCCAAGUCACAGGAGUUAUUUUUCAUCAACUUAAACUUUAUGGAAACACGUGUUUAGUGGGUGUAGUGAAAUGCCUGUACAUGGACGCACAUUCAUGUAGAACUACACGGGGGGGGGGUCAGUAGCAGCAGGGAAGUGCGGUAUGCUUCCUAAUGGCCGCUGGCUUUCUGCUACUUUACGUCAACUAGUAUGAACACACCAUAACGCACUUCUGCAAUCCUUAUAUCAACUAAACUUAGUGUGGAAUUCACGAUUACAGUGUUCUGUUAUUCUAUGCUCCAAGCUGUGUUGCUACAGGUGGACAGUUGUCUUUAUGUAGCAUUGAGACAUGCCUGUACAAUAAUGACCAUGCGGUCUUACGGCUAAAAAAAACAACAACAAAAAAAGCGCAAUUCAAGUUGUUGAAUAGAUUGUACCACUGCUUUAACAAAGAAGACGUGUCUGUUGUGGGAUGAUGUAGUUGAAUUUACCGCUAUGUUAAAAAGAAGACUUGUCUGUUGUGGGAUGAUGUAGUUGAAUUUACCGCUAUGUUAAAAAAGAAGACUUGUCUGUUGUGGGAUGAUGUAGUUGAAUUUACCGCUAUGUUAAAAAAGAAGACUUGUCUGUUGUGGGAUGAUGUAGUUGAAUUUACCGCUAUGUUAAAAAAGAAGACUUGUCUGUUGUGGGAUGAUGUAGUUGAAUUUACCG
rnacentral:lncRNA from 13 species